rnacentral:rRNA from 1 species
AGAGUUUGAUCCUGGCUCAGAGCGAACGUUCGCGGCGCGCCUAACACAUGCAAGUCGCACGAGAAAGGGCUUCGGCCCCAGUAAAGUGGCGCACGGGUGCGUAACACGUAGGCAAUCUACCCUCGGGUGGGGGAUAACAUCCCGAAAGGGACGCUAAUACCGCGUAAGACCACGGCGCCUUCGGGUGCUGCGGCCAAAGGUGGCCUCUUCAUGAAAGCUACCGCCUGAGAAUGAGCCUGCGGCCCAUCAGCUAGUUGGCAGGGUAAUGGCCUACCAAGGCAAAGACGGGUAGCUGGUCUGAGAGGAUGAUCAGCCACACUGGCACUGAAGCACGGGCCAGACUCCUACGGGAGGCAGCAGUGGGGAAUCUUGGUCAAUGGGCGCAAGCCUGAACCAGCGACGCCGCGUGAGUGAUGAAGGCCGUCGGGUUGUAAAGCUCUGUGGGAAGAGAAGAAAAAAGCCCGGGCGAAUAGGCUGGGUUCUUGACGGUAUCUUCUUAGCAAGCACCGGCUAACUCUGUGCCAGCAGCCGCGGUAAUAC